rnacentral:rRNA from 1 species
UACGUGAGGGGCGAACGUUGUUCGGUGUCACUGGGCUUAAAGGGCGCGUAGGUGGUUGCGUAAGUAACGUGUGAAAUCCCUCGGCUUACCCGGGGAAUUGCGCGUUAUACUGCGUGACUUGAGGAUCUCAGGGGAAAGGGGAACUCUAGGUGUAGCGGUGAAAUGCGCAGAUAUCUAGGGGAAGGCCGGCGGCGAAGGCGCCUUUCUGGGAGAUUCCUGACACUGAGGCGCGAAAGCGUGGGGAGCAAAC